GGGUUAGGGUUGGGUUAGGAGUAGGGUUAGGGUUGGGUUAGAAGUAGGGUUAGGUUGGGGGUAGAGAUACCAUACUCCUAACCAUACCCUAACCUUACUCCUAACCCAAACCCUACCUCUAACCCUACUCCUAACCCAACCCUACUCCUAACCUAACCCUACUCCUAACCUAACCCUAACUCUAC